rnacentral:rRNA from 1 species
UACGUAGGGCGCAAGCGUUAUCCGGAAUUAUUGGGCGUAAAGAGCUCGUAGGCGGUCUGUCGCGUCGGCUGUGAAAUCCCGAGGCUCAACCUCGGGUCUGCAGUCGAUACGGGCUAGCUAGAGUGUGGUAGGGGAGAUCGGAAUUCCUGGUGUAGCGGUGAAAUGCGCAGAUAUCAGGAGGAACACCGGUGGCGAAGGCGGAUCUCUGGGCCAUUACUGACGCUGAGGAGCGAAAGCGUGGGGAGCGAACAGG